CUUCAAUCACGAUCAAUUGCGCCAAUAUAUUUUGGCAGUUAUCAAUCGCAUAGCGUUUUUGUUGGAAAAGCAGAUAAUAUUAAAUUAUAGAAGAAACUCCAUAACAAAAAGAGGAAUGAUAGUUAAAGAUAUUCAUAAAGAGAACAGCGUACUAUAUAUUGCUAGUUAUUUCGAAGUUUCUUUAAAACAAGGCCAACCCAAAAGCUUACAGCCACUGCCGUCUCUUCAGAUAAGAAAGAGAAUGGAAAUGGGAAAUGUGUCAACAAGACAAAAACCCGACCAAAGAGUAAAAUGAGCCAACAACACAGCUAGAAAAUCCCGCACUCGCAGGGGGACUUCAGCUGGUCCCUCAACAAAAAUGUGUACUAGUUCCGUGAAAAUAGAUGUCAUACUGAACUCAUCCAAUCAAGCCAAACUAACGACUGGAUUAUAUUCUAACAGCAAAAGGAAAACACAUGUCAUAUAAAGCAAGCAGUGGCGUAUAUUUAAUUUUGGCUUUUUAUCGGGACAGGCAGAUACAAAAUGAGACAGGUUUAAUAUAAAAAAGCAGAUGUGGUAUGGUUGCCGAUGAGACAACUCUCCACAGGAGACCAAAUAAUACAGAAAUUAACAGAUAUAGGUCAUCGUACGCAAUUAGCAAAGCCCAUACCGCAUAGUCAGCUACAAAGGGCCCUAAGAUCACAAAUGUAAAACAAUUCAAACGAGAAAACUAACGCCCUAAUCAAUGUACAAACAAAUGAACAAAAAACAAAUAUGUAAAACAGCAACAAACGGUAACCACUGAAUUACAGGCUCCUGACUUGGAACAGUCACACUCAUACAGAAUUGGUGGGGUAAAACAUGUUAGCGGGAUCCCAACCCUCCCCUAACCUGGGACAGUGGUGUAACAGUACAACAUAAGAAUGAACUAUAAAAAUCAGUUGAAAAAGGCUUAACUCAUCAGAUGAAUACAAUUGGAAAUACAUCUAACUAAAAACACAGAGUGGACGUUGCGGGUACUUGUAUAUCCCAACAACAGAAAGACAAACAUAGACGUGGCCGUUUACUUGUUCAUCCUAACAACAAAUAUACGCUAAGUACAGAUUUGAGAGUUCCUGCAGAUACUGACAGCUAGUUAAAAGCCAAUAACAACUAAUAAUAGAAACAUGCAUCUACGACUAAAUUAAUCUUUUUUUUGCGGUGACCAACCUUCCCUUUAACCUCGCACAGUGGUUUUACAUCAAAACUUAGGAACAAAACUGUAAAAGUAAGCCAAAAAAUACUACACACCUCAGAUCGAUUCAAAGCAUAGAAAAAAAGUCGCGUCAAGGCAAUAAAUUCAUUCUUGUCUGAAUAAUUAUUCUUACACUCUAACAGUUUGUUUUCUGUUUUCUCAUUCUGGUCCAAUAAACAAUUAUAAAAAAAAUAUACAUAUAUUUAUACCAGUAAUUGUUCUAAGGUACCGGUUGUGGAUAAGUUGCUUGUUUUAUAAGCAAAGGACACUCUUUAUAUAAAAAGUACUAAACAAAAAUCAUGUUUAUUUCUAAAAACAGUAGAACAAAAACGGAAACAACUCUUUUCUCACAUUGAUAUUAGAAGAUGGAAAUAU